AGAGACUUAGGUUAAACAAACCAAGGGCCUUCAAAGCCCUAAACAAGGGUGAAAGCCUCUUAGUCUCUG
rnacentral:tRNA from 1 species